rnacentral:lncRNA from 1 species
UUUAAAACUAGCCUGUCUGCGGAGGGGCGUGUGUCCGUUCUGCAGGUGAUUCUAAGGCGAGGCAGUGCUGAGAAUCAUUGCACUGGAUUAUUUGCAUUGAUGGAUGUUUUACAAAUAGUAUCAGUGAUCCUUGCAAUAGUCCUGGGAGCUAAACACAAUCAUGCAGUAUUGAUUUUAGCUGCUGGGGUUUGAACUCAGGGCCUCUAAGUGCGUGCUUUCCCCUGAGCUACUCCCUCAGCCUCUCUUCUGCCCUUUUAAUUACGUAAAACGCAAGUUUCAGAAGUGACUGGCCCGGCCUCAGCAAUUUAGGGAGUCCCUCAGAAACCUAGUGAGACCCUGUCUCAAACUAAAAAAGAAUAAAAUGGCUGGAGUUGUAGCUCAGUGGUAAAUCACAAUUGGGACCAAAUCCCCAGUGCCAAAAAAGGGUUCACUCAAAAUGACACAGUCUGUAAAUGGUGCUUCCAUCUUUCCCAGAAGAGGAAGACGGUGAUAAGUCCAGUGAAAGUGUACUUUCACUGUGUCACACUGUGAGUAAAGGUCACAAAACUCUGAGUUUUUUCUUCUUUUGUCAGUAGCAGUCUAUCUAACAAGGAACUGCUAAUUUUACACACUUUACCUCUAAUUCCCUUGCCACUCACUUUUGAGUUUGAGCUGCAGUUAAGUAGCCCAUGCAGAGGCUGCCCUGCUUCCACAGUGUGUGGGACCUUCUUUCCUUCUUCCAUGCCUGUGGCCACAUGUGUCUCUGGAACGUUGAAAUGUCUGGAUUCUUUCCUACAGGACGAACUUCUUUGUGACCCUACACUGCAGUACCACAGGAGCCUUCCUGCAGGUGUUAAAGUUUAAGAAGGAACAUAGGCAGUGAAAUUGGGGAGGGGGAGUAUUAAGAGGGGAAAUGUCUAUCUGACUCUGCAUCCCUCUUUUCUCUUCCCUGGUCCAUUGGGCCUGGAUUCUAGAACCUCAGCUUCCUCUGAGCUGCCCCAGGUGGGGAGCUUCCUGGGACCCCACUGCUGCAGGUGAUGACCUCAUGAAAACAUCUCUGAAGUACUGUCCUCCCACCUAGAGUCCCUCUGAGUUUCCCAAGAUGUCAAAGGUAAUAG